GGGAAUAGAUGGGCGCUGGUGUGCCUUCUGGUCUUCAAAACCAGUUCAAGGGGUUAAGAGCCUCUUGGGUGGGUUCGAUUCCCACAUAUUCCCGCCA
rnacentral:tRNA from 1 species